CACAUACUCCCUUCGUUCCAAAUUACUCGUCUCAGAAAUGGAUGUAUCUAAAACUAAAAUACAUCUAGAUACAUCCAUACUUGUGACAAGUAAUUCGGAAUGGAGGGAGUAUAUG
rnacentral:pre_miRNA from 1 species